UAUAACUGGAAAAUAAUUUGAGGUUUUAUAAAAAAUUUUGAUAAAAAGAGAAUAACUCACAUUGCAAGUUUAAACGGUUAGAGCCUGUCUAUUGAUUAAGCUGGUAAACCUAAAACUAGGUUAGUAACUUAAUUCAACAUUUAUGAUAAUUCACGAGAUCGAAACCCUCACGACGAAUGACAAAGUAUAACCCAAAAUUUAGGCAACACUUAAACAUCCAUCGAAUCGGUUUUAAUCGAUCAGACAUUGUAUCGCAGCAGUGAUUGAGUUAUUACCCUGUUAUCGUAGCAGUGUCUCGACACUAAAUUCACUCUAAUAAUAAUAAUAAUAAUAAUAAUAAUAAUAAUAAUAAUAAUAAUAAUAAUAAUAAUAAUAAUAAUAAUAAUAAUAAAACUCAAAAUCAAGUGUCCUACUACGUAUGACCCACGGUAUGGAGUUCCUUGUCAAGAGUAAUGUUCUUGGGGGCUAAAGCGAGUCUAUCUUGUGUGGAAAAGGGUGCCUGCCGUCAUCUUGAAGCAAAUAAUGUUUCCAAUCGGACACGUGUAAUGAAUCAACCACAGCUUUUUUAG
rnacentral:lncRNA from 1 species